rnacentral:lncRNA from 1 species
CACGCCAUGCUCCCUCAGUCACUCUAUUUAUAUAUGCUCACCCGUGCUUAGCUUUUCUUUUUCCACUCCUACAUAAUCAAAAAGAAUUCAGCAAACAAAUCUCAAGAAUGUCAACAGCAAAUCUCAUCUUUAAAUUCUUCAACCACGCUCUACAAUUUAGCCGUACUAUUCAUCAUCUUUUCACACUAAUCAGCUCUCCAUAAGUUCAGUAUAAAACCAUCCUCAUUCACCUUCUUCAUCACAGCAGCAAAUCUACUCCUUCCUUUAUGCACCAAAAAUCAUAGAGAGUUUAUUUCAGCUGCAAUCUGGACCCCAAGAGGUAAGCUCAACUUAAACUUCUCCAUUUUUUUUCUUGAGUUCAGCCUGCAAUGGUUAAGCAAAAAUCCACAAUUAUGUUUCAGUUUAUUCACUCCUGAAUUCAUUAGCACAGCAGCCAACCAAGCACAAAACACACAAGGUGAUUGCUAAUCUCAUUUUACUCUAGUUCAUGCUACAUGAUUUACACCAACAAGUAUGCUUAUGUGUUAGAAAGUGAGAAUAAAGAAUUGAGAUAUAUAUGCAUAAUGGACUUAGCAAAGUCACGUUUCAGUAAUACAGAUUUACCCAUGUUAUGUAGAAUGUCCUAUGCGUUUAUGAUUCCUACUGGACUCUAAAAAUUAGAUGCUAACACAGUAGCAACCCCACAACGCCAUUAAUCCCUUGCACAUAUAGUAUGUAGAACCAAGACUUCACGCAAAUAUAAGAUGUUAACUUAGAACAUAAGAAAAAUGGAAGGGGACUAGAUUGAUGUACCUGUUCAGUCGAACCAAGGGAACGACGACGAGUCCUUGCUGCCUCGCCGGAAUAUGAGUAAAGCAGCAACGGCGAGGUGAAGAGUCAGGCCCGUCGACUCCGAGGAGGACAGCAGCGACGGCCUACUCCUCACGCAGCAGCAACCCAGAAGACAGCGAAAGAAGACCCAUCCCUUGAGUUCGAAAGCGGAAAGAACUAAGGAGGGAAUGACGUCUAUAGCCUCGGCCAAAGGCCAAGGGCCGGUGGUCGCCGCCAGAGGCGGCGGCGAACCAGGAGCGGCAGCAGCCGCUGCCGACGCUCCAGCUGGCGACGGUGGCAGCAACUCCAGACGGCGGCGACUUCCGCGGGCGAUUGCAGGCGGAGCGGCGCGGCGGCGCGACGCCGGAAUCGAGCGAAAGAGAGAGAGAUGUGAGCAGCGAUUCCUUCUUGCGAUUCGUUUGAGGAGAGAGCCGAUGGUAGUGGAAGUAGAGUGAAAGAAAAUCGGUAGUGUGAGGAGAGUGAGAGAGAACCGAUAUUAAUGUGAGAAAAAAGAGAAAUUUUACUUUAAUAAAGUUUGAGAGAGAGAAAUGCUUUACUUCCACUUUUGACUAGUAUUGAGAGAGAACCGAGAAUUGGGGGAAAAGUGUGGGUCUGCCACCUUUAUGUUAAUUGAGAAAGAAAUAAAAAGUUGAUAGGUGGGGGAGGCGAUUAAUAAUAUAUAUAUAAUAGCAAAAGAGAAUGUGAGGUGAUUUAGUAUAGGAGUGAAACUUAAGAAGGAGUGCUUUAUUUUAAAGAAAGUGUCGGUUUUGUGGGUUUACAUGAGUGCUAUAAAUUUUUAAAAUUUCUUAAUGAAGUGUCGGUUUAUUUGUUGGUCAGGAUAUAAUAUUUGGGAUUUGCUUAUAUAAAUAACAUUGAGCUAAUAGAUAUAUUGUUUAAUUGUGGGAGUAUUUUAAUUGUGGGACUACUAUUACGAGAGAAUAAGCCUACCGAAUUUUGUAGAAAAUAGAGACUAUUAUUUUAGGCCUCAUUAUUAAUCCUAAUUAUAUUUAAUUAGUGAUUAAUUUUAAUACUUACUAAUUAUUAGUUGGUAAGUGAGUUAGAUUAAUUCAAGAUGAGUAGAUUAUUAAGAUUUAUAAUCCAACCCCAUGAAACGAGCUUUAAUCCUAUAAUUGGAUUAUUAUUAGAAAUUUCUCGAUUUAGUAUCUCAGAAUGAUUUAAUAAAAAGGAAUAUGAGCCAUGCAUAAUUACAUUACGCAUCCUCAUUUAUUUGAGAAUUCCCUCGAAUUAAAAUCUUGUUUAUUUUCUCGUAUUAAAGGUCAAGCACAAGAGUUUAAGGCUUAGUCGUGAGUCUCUACUACCAGGUGGGCAUUUCUUACGCAUAAAAUAAAAAUGCUAUUUAAGAACUAUGCAACUUUCAUGCUUUAAAAUGCAAAAUUAGAUUUUGAAAUGAGUUAUGCUUUAUUAUGCUUAAAUGAGUUAAACUUAUUUCUCUUUAUUAUCUACGCUUGUCACGUUUUAAUAAUUUACACUAUGCUAUUUACGCUUAAUUACGGCUUAAAUUUUUAUAAUUUAUUAUUUAUGCUUUGUUAUGCUUUUAAGAGAUUUACGCUUAAGUGAGUUACGCUUUGUUACGCGCCUACGUGGUUCACGCUUUGUUACACUUUAAUGCUUUAUGCUUAUUAUUUAACGCCUAUGUGAGUUACGCUUUAAUGCUUUAUGCUUAUUAUCUAAUGCUUAUUUGAUGCUAACAAGAUCGAUUCCUGAGCGGAUAGCUAUCUUGCCAAGGAUAUAUAUAUAUGCAACGCGACUGUGAGUCAAUGAGAGGGUUGGCCGGUCAAACGUCCGUUGAGGGAGGCCUCCCUCAACGGUACGAUGCUAGCGUCUGUUGGGGGAGGCCUCCCUCAACAGUACGAUGCCGUGUCCGGUGAGGGAGGCCUCCCUCACGGCGCGAUGCCUGUGUUCGUUGAGGAUCUUCCUCAUGACACGAUGCUUAUUGAUAUGACUUUUGAUGAUAAGGAAUGCACUUACGCUAUUUAUGAAUUUGAAAAUGAUAGUAUGCAAAGAACUUGAAAGAAGAUUCAUGUCGCUUAUAUGAUGCUGUGGUUUGAUGAUAAAAUGUUAAGCUUACAAUUUAGUUUUUGGCAACUGCCCACUAAGUACUUUUGUACUUAGCCCUGCAUAUGUUUAUGAAUGUGCAGGUUGAGCUGUGAUGAACGAUGAAGUGUUGCUGAGUGGAGCUUUUGUCGAACUUAGAAUAGGCUCAGAAAUGAUAUGUGUCUGCAUACAUGUAUCUCAGUCUUGCCUUCCGCUGCAAACACUGUUUAUGUUUUAGUCAAGUCUAUAUUUAUGUCAAUUACUCUUCAAGAAAUAUUUAACGCUUACUCGGGUUCAUCGAGUAUCCUUUUUAACUAUAUGCGUCAAUCUUUCAAUGUCUUAAAUUUUAUUUCUAUAAUUAAUGCUAGAUAUAAAUGUCUAUAAUCGAGUUGUAAAUGAGUCAAAUGUGCCCUUUCUAACCCCGCUUCUUAAAUCCCUUCCCUAGUCACGAUUUCCCGGAUUAGCUAUCCUUAGUUAAGGCCGGUCGUGACAGAAUGGUAUCAGAGCAGUUCGUUUGCUCUGAGCCUAAGAGUUUAUUUUAGUCAAGCCUAGAUUGGAUCACUAGAGUGUCUAGACUUCAAUCGACAAAACUCAACACUUCAUCGCAUCACACUCAACGAAGCAGAAUGGUAAGCUCUUCCAAGUUUUGAGUUGAUGUUUGAAAUCUUUUAUAGCAUUUGGCAUGAUCGAAAAGUGGAAAUUGACGCGACAUCAAAGUGUGUAUCAGUCAAUACUUAAGUCAUAUUGUUAUUGAGUGAAAUGACCGACGCAAGCACGAUUAAGUAUGACUAUGGUAUGAAUUCCCAUGAACAUAGAGCUAUUAAGUUAGGUGAUCACCUCUACGACAGAACAUAGAAGAAAACGUAGAAGAAAUUCAAUUAUAUCUUUUGGUGACUGAAGUGAUGGCAGUAAGACAAGUGAUAUGUAUAGAAUUUUUAUAAGCUCGUGAUGUAUAUCCGCUAUAAAUUUCCAUGACUUAUGCCUAAGUAUCAAAUUGAGAUGCAAUGAUAUUAUAUUUUUAUGACUCAUGGAUUUGGGAUGCUAAGGACCCUUAAAGCUUACUACAUCAAUGUUGUCAUUGGAGUCAUGACUUGUUUACAAGUUAUAACAAGUUAACAUUUACAAGAGUUCUUUUGAGAUACCGAGAUACUUGAAAUAAAUUGCGAUCAAGAAGUAUAGAAGAUAAGGGACAAAUUAGUUACCUUAAGCAUCUCGGAGUACGCAAAUUUCGGGACGAAAUUUUUGUUAAGAGGGGUAGUAUGUAACAACCCGCUCUUUUAUUAUACUUAAAUCCAGUAAUAUUUCAGUAAAUCAAGCCCAGUAAAUAAUUAUGAUUUAAAUUCAGUUUAUGACACUGGAUUAUUUUCUAAUUGAAGCAAGGUUAUUAUUUUAUUUCUACGCCAGUUAGCUUCGCGUGAGUAAAACCACGAUGAGAAUUAUUGAGUAAGCCAAUAAUGAUUCAGUUCAAAUUCAUAACUGACUUAGUUAAGUCAUGUUAUUUAUUAAUCACAAUAGAAUUAUUUUUCUAUUUUUUAUUUCUCGAGUCGUGAAUUUAUUCCGGCUUGUGAAGAAUUAAAUCUACGUUAUUAAUUUAGAUAUUAUUCCGUGUAUUAAAUCUAGCACGCCAUGCUCCCUCAGUCACUCUAUUUAUAUAUGCUCACCCGUGCUUAGCUUUUCUUUUUCCACUCCUACAUAAUCAAAAAGAAUUCAGCAAACAAAUCUCAAGAAUGUCAACAGCAAAUCUCAUCUUUAAAUUCUUCAACCACGCUCUACAAUUUAGCCGUACUAUUCAUCAUCUUUUCACACUAAUCAGCUCUCCAUAAGUUCAGUAUAAAACCAUCCUCAUUCACCUUCUUCAUCACAGCAGCAAAUCUACUCCUUCCUUUAUGCACCAAAAAUCAUAGAGAGUUUAUUUCAGCUGCAAUCUGGACCCCAAGAGGUAAGCUCAACUUAAACUUCUCCAUUUUUUUCUUGAGUUCAGCCUGCAAUGGUUAAGCAAAAAUCCACAAUUAUGUUUCAGUUUAUUCACUCCUGAAUUCAUUAGCACAGCAGCCAACCAAGCACAAAACACACAAGGUGAUUGCUAAUCUCAUUUUACUCUAGUUCAUGCUACAUGAUUUACACCAACAAGUAUGCUUAUGUGUUAGAAAGUAAGAAUAAAGAAUUGAGAUAUAUAUGCAUAAUGGGCUUAGCAAAGUCACGUUUGAGUAAUACAGAUUUACCCAUGUUAUGUAGAAUGUCCUAUGUCGUUUAUGAUUCCUACUGGACUCUAAAAAUUAGAUGCUAACACAGUAGCAACCCCACAACGCCAUUAAUACCCUUGCACAUAUAGUAUGUAGAACCAAGACUUCACGCAAAUAUAAGAUGUUAACUUAGAACAUAAGAAAAAUGGAAGGGACUAGAUUGAUGUACCUGUUCAGUCGAACCAAGGGAACGACGACGAGUCCUUGCUGCCUCGCCGGAAUAUGAGUAAAGCAGCAACGGCGAGGUGAAGAGUCAGGCCCGUCGACUCCGAGGAGGACAGCAGC